rnacentral:rRNA from 1 species
CGCGGGAAUUCGAUUAGAGUUUGAUUAUGGCUCAGGACGAACGCUGGCGGCGUGCCUAAUACAUGCAAGUCGAGCGGAUCUUCAUUAGCUUGCUUUUGAAGAUCAGCGACGGACGGGUGAGUAACACGUGGGCAACCUGCCUGUAAGACUGGGAUAACUUCGGGAAACCGGAGCUAAUACCGGAUAAUCCUUUCCCUCACAUGAGGGAAAGCUGAAAGACGGUUUCGGCUGUCACUUACAGAUGGGCCCGCGGCGCAUUAGCUAGUUGGUGAGGUAACGGCUCACCAAGGCGACGAUGCGUAGCCGACCUGAGAGGGUGAUCGGCCACACUCGGACUGAGACACGGCCCAGACUCCUACGGGAGGCAGCAGUAGGGAAUCUUCCGCAAUGGACGAAAGUCUGACGGAGCAACGCCGCGUGAGCGAUGAAGGCCUUCGGGUCGUAAAGCUCUGUUGUCAGGGAAGAACAAGUACCGGAGUAACUGCCGGUACCUUGACGGUACCUGACCAGAAAGCCACGGCUAACUACGUGCCAGCAGCCGCGGUAAUACGUAGGUGGCAAGCGUUGUCCGGAAUUAUUGGGCGUAAAGCGCGCGCAGGCGGUUCCUUAAGUCUGAUGUGAAAGCCCCCGGCUCAACCGGGGAGGGUCAUUGGAAACUGGGGAACUUGAGUGCAGAAGAGGAGAGCGGAAUUCCACGUGUAGCGGUGAAAUGCGUAGAGAUGUGGAGGAACACCAGUGGCGAAGGCGGCUCUCUGGUCUGUAACUGACGCUGAGGCGCGAAAGCGUGGGGAGCGAACAGGAUUAGAUACCCUGGUAGUCCACGCCGUAAACGAUGAGUGCUAAGUGUUAGAGGGUUUCCGCCCUUUAGUGCUGCAGCAAACGCAUUAAGCACUCCGCCUGGGGAGUACGGCCGCAAGGCUGAAACUCAAAGGAAUUGACGGGGGCCCGCACAAGCGGUGGAGCAUGUGGUUUAAUUCGAAGCAACGCGAAGAACCUUACCAGGUCUUGACAUCCUCUGACAACCCUAGAGAUAGGGCGUUCCCCUUCGGGGGACAGAGUGACAGGUGGUGCAUGGUUGUCGUCAGCUCGUGUCGUGAGAUGUUGGGUUAAGUCCCGCAACGAGCGCAACCCUUGAUCUUAGUUGCCAGCAUUCAGUUGGGCACUCUAAGGUGACUGCCGGUGACAAACCGGAGGAAGGUGGGGAUGACGUCAAAUCAUCAUGCCCCUUAUGACCUGGGCUACACACGUGCUACAAUGGAUGGAACAAAGGGCAGCGAAGCCGCGAGGUGAAGCCAAUCCCAUAAAACCAUUCUCAGUUCGGAUUGCAGGCUGCAACUCGCCUGCAUGAAGCCGGAAUCGCUAGUAAUCGCGGAUCAGCAUGCCGCGGUGAAUACGUUCCCGGGCCUUGUACACACCGCCCGUCACACCACGAGAGUUUGUAACACCCGAAGUCGGUGGGGUAACCUUUAUGGAGCCAGCCGCCUAAGGUGGGACAGAUGAUUGGGGUGAAGUCGUAACAAGGUAGCCGUAUCGGAAGGUGCGGCUGGAUCACCUCCUUUAUGAAUCACUAGUGAAU